CACCACAAUGGGAGCACAUGAGCAGUGAUAGCUGAGUCCUCUCGUACAUUUGUGUAAUAUUGGGAGAGUUGCGUCCCUUCAUCCAUACAUACGUUUCGACUUUUCCAGACCUAAAAGUCGCACACAUGACACAGUGCGGGGAUGAUGUGUAACGACUGAAGAGGGAACUCCGGAAUUAAUGUCAGGUUCCUCUGGAUCCCCAUCUGUACACAUGGAGGGGUGCUGUGACAUAACUAUAACCAGGCACUUAUGGAAGUUCCUGGAAGAUGGGCAUAACCGUUCAGAGAGAUGCCCCGCCGUGGCCUUUAUCCGCUGUGACUGGGCGGAUGGCGGGAGCAAGAACCGUUCUGUCACACAUACUACACGAUGGAAGCUUCAUGUCUGUGCACCGGACACUCAACAAACCGAUGAAAGUGAUGUUUUUCGACUUUUAGGGAGUGACACCUUUACCCACCUGCAUCAUUUUACAGAUAGGUUGUGGAAGGAACAUGACACUGAACUGACUCAUAUUGAAAGAGGUUUGAUAUUCGCAUGUCAACACAGACAGUAUUCUGAGGAAAAGAUGGAUGGAUUCAAGCGAAACAUAUUGGCGUCCUUUCAACAUCUCAUCAAUACACCCUCCACACACAGGAACUAUGCUGUGUCGCUAGAAUUGCUUGAAGAAAAGAGCGGCUAUGACAACGGCGGCAGAACGUCAACGUUAUCAGACACACAGCUAGAGCUACAAAGGAUUGAAGACCGACUUCAAGAACGAAUGUCUUGCGAACUUAGAAACAUGGAAAACCUUGUCCGCACUCUGAUUCAGACAAAUCAAACUUAUAUGGAAGGAGAGGUCCGGAACAUUGCACUGGCUGUACGUUCAGAACCAGAUGAACGUGACGCAAUACAAGUGUCCACUGAAGGGGUUGCCAGUGUACAUGGACACGUCCUUGAAGCCGAUGAACGUGACGCAAUACAAGUGUCCACUGAAGGGGUUGCCAGUGUACAUGGACACGUCCUUGAAGCCGAUGAACGUGACGCAACACCGUUGUCCACUGAAGGGGUUGCCAGUGUACAUGGACACGUCCUUGAAGCCGAUAAACGUGACGCAACACCGGUGUCCACUGAAGGGGUUUCUAAUGUCCAAGGACACGUUCCUGAAACAGAUGCAGGAGCACCACCGAAGGGAGACCCUGCCAGGUCCGGGGGCACCAGUGUUAACGAUCAGCGGGAGUCACCAGUUCCUGAAACUACAGAUAGCUAUCGAGACAACAGAGCUGAGGGAGGUAACGACAACGGGUUAGAAGAAAUGCCUGGUUCUCGUGACGUGGAUCAAAACAUUGUACCAACGACAGGCCUUGAUGAUACAUUGGAGACACAUACAUCAUGGCUGAGUUCGGAGAAUAUCCAGCAAAUGUCACCAAGCGAAAUAAUAAGCAAGAACUAUUAUGAAGCCCAACAACUGCUAACAGCUCUGACCAUAAAUCUCGACGGAUGGAAAAGGUUGACAGAGGCAACUGCACUGGCCCUGGAAGCUGCCCAUCCCACACCUCCAAGAACUAAUUCAGCCGUCACCGUGCUGUGUGUCGAUGUUUCCGAAAGUAUUGGAGAAAAAGGCCUGAGAGAAAUGAAGCAGACGGUCAACAGGUUUAUCGAUGGCAUAGAGACAAUGGCUGAACAGCAGGGUCUGGAGGAGAACAUCGGCUUGGUGGCCAUGGGCGGGGAUGUCACGGUGAUGCAGGAUAUCACAAAUGACUAUGGAAGGGUCAGGGACGCAAUAGAUGACUUGGUUCUGCGAGGGGCGAGUCCCAUAUUCGAAGCUAUUGUUGUUUCCGUGGCAUCAAUCAAGAACAGAGCUGGUAUUCUCCGUAUUGGCGGAAUUCACAAAGUCAAGCCAAGGAUUAUUUUCUUCACGGAUGGUUUUGCAACCAGUGAAGAUCACCCCGAUGGACCAGACUCUGUUAUCAAUGAUUCAAAUUUGAAGGUCCAGAUUAUCCGUCUAACAACCAUGUUGGCACGAGAGAAGAGUGACACGGAUCCACUGAUAUGGGUGCCAGUGGGAAACGCUGAUACGACGUUUCUGUCCUCGUUGGCGAAACUGGGAAACCAAGAAUUGGUCGAAGGGAAGGACAUUCACAGUCUGUGUAGCCGUUACAGGUUACAGGAUACGAUCGCAAAAAUCUACUUAUGCUUGGAGAAGAGCUUUUCUAAAGACAGAGAAAGAACAGAACGCAACAUCGAAGCAGUAGCUGAAGCCUUCAUGGGUGACAUGACUCACGAAGAAAAGGUUUUCGUAAUCAAAGCAGUGACGGAAAAGAUAGAAAAGAAAGAUGGCAUACUACCAGAUGAUGGUCCCAGCGAUUAUGACAAUGUCCUCGAACGAGAGGGGUUACCUCCACUUGGGUCCAGGGUGAUACGAGGACCGGACUGGAAGUAUGGAGACCAGGAUGUGGAAGGGCCUGGAACCGUUGUCAAUCAUGCAAAUGAUCAUCAGUUUUUGUGGGUACGUUGGGAUCUGUACGACAGCAACUGCAGGUACAGAUAUGGGUAUGAAGAACAGUUCGAUGUUCUUCUAGUCGACCAGUCACGACGCCUGGCCGCAAAUGAGCUGAUUGAGAUUGGUGUCAAGGUCAAAAGGGGAACUGACUGGUCAUAUGGAAACCAAGAUGGUGGUCCUGGCGGCCGUGGGAUGGUGAUACGAAAACGGAAGGAUGGGAGAGUGAAAGUGAGAUGGGACAACGGCCACAUCAACUCCUACAAUUUUGGAUCCCAUGGGGAAUUUGAUCUCGAAAUCAGUUCUGAAGAAGACGAAUUAUCUGCUGUUAUAGCAGCGUCCUUGGAAGAAACAGCAUCUCCUUCUAGAGUCCCAGAUGAAGAAGUCAAGGGAACCCUGCAGACAGAGGACAGACCACACAUAGUCUGGCAAUGGAGAGACGAUAGUGGCGUCUGGAGACUGUACACACAUAAGCAGAUAGAAAAAUUGGAGAGGGAUUACAGCCGGACAAGUGCCAGGACUUGCGUUCUUCAGAAAGGGGAUCAGAGCUUUCGUAUCACAUUCAAAGAACCCAUGUCACAGAAGUCAUCCAACGAUGGGAGAAGAUAUGAUGUUCAAAGACUCGCUGUGAGUACCAAGGACCUGGACCAGCUCAUCUCCCAAACAUCAGCUGUAGAAGACGUGGGAUGGAUGUGGGCGGACAAGGAAUAUGUACAGUAGUGGCUGUAUUCAUACUGAAUACGUCCAUAUCGUGACGUGGGAUGGAUGUGGGCGGACGAGGAAUAUGUACAGUAGUGGCUGUAUUCAUACUGAGUACGUCCAUAUCGUGACGUGGGAUGGAUGUGGGCGGACAAGGAUUAUGUACAGUAGUGGCUGUAUUCAUACUGAGUACGUCCACAUCGUGACGUGGGAUGGAUGUGGGCGGACAAGGAAUAUGUACAGUAGUGGCUGUAUUCAUACUGAGUACGUCCAUAUCGUGACGUGGGAUGGAUGUGGGCGGACAAGGAUUAUGUACAGUAGUGGCUGUAUUCAUACUGAGUACGUCCAUAUCGUGACGUGGGAUGGAUGUGGGCGGACAAGGAUUAUGUACAGUAGUGGCUGUAUUCAUACUGAGUACGUCCAUAUCGUGACGUGGGAUGGAUGUGGGCGGACAAGGAUUAUGUACAGUAGUGGCUGUAUUCAUACUGAGUACGUCCAUAUCGUGAACUAAACAGUAGCUCUAUACUGUUAAACUGUACAUGAGGUGACACAGUUGCUGUAUGCAGACUGGAUACGUACAUACCCGGAAUUUUACUCUAGCUGUGUACCGACUGGAUACCUACAUGGUCUGGUGUACAGUAGCUGUAUACUGAUAACAUACGUACAUGGUCUGAUGUACUGUAGCUGUGUACUGAUUGAGUACGUACAUGGUCUGGGGAAUAGUAGAUGUAUACUGAUUGGGUACGUACAUGGUCUGAUGGACAGUAGCUGUAUACUGAUUGGGUACGAACAUGGUCUGAUGUACAGUAGCUGUAUACAGAUUGGGUACGUACAUGGUCUUAUGUACAGUAGAUGUGUACUGAUUGGAUGCGUACAUGGUCUGAUGGACAGUAGCUGUAUACUGAUUGGGUACGUACAUGGUCUUAUGUACAGUCGAUGUGUACUGAUUGGGUACCUACAUGGUCUGAGGUACAGUAGCUGUGUACUGAUUGGAUACGUGCAGGGUCUGAGGUACAAUAGCUGUAUACUGAUUGGAUACCUACAUGGUCUGAGGUACAGUAGCUGUGUACUGAUUGGAUGCGUACAUGGUCUGAUGGACAGUAGAUGUAUACUGAUUGGGUACGUACAUGGUCUUAUGUACAGUAGCUGUGUACUGAUUGGGUACGCACAUUGUCUGAUGUACAGUAGCUGUGUACUGAUUGGAUGCGUACAUGGUCUGAUGGACAGUAGCUGUAUACUGAUUGGGUACGUACAUGGUCUGAGGUACAAUAGCUGUAUACUGAUUGGAUACCUACAUGGUCUUAUGUACAGUAGAUGUGUACUGAUUGGGUACGUACAUGGUCUGAGGUACAAUAGCUGUAUACUGAUUGGGUACGUACAUGGUCUUAUGUGCAGUAGAUGUGUACUGAUUGGAUGCGUACAUGGUCUGAUGGACAGUUGCUGUAUACUGAUUGGGUACGUACAUCCAAUUGUACAGUGCUGUCUUUGUAAACGUGGUGAAAUGAACAGCAGUUGUAUACACACUGACCCUGUUCAUGUUCUGAACAUAUAUUUGUAUACUGACUGUAUUUGUACAUUUGUCAUCAUCCUUGGGUUCUUUUUGCAUAUGAAUAAACACGGAUAUUAUCGA
rnacentral:misc_RNA from 1 species